GAUGAACGCUGGCGGCGUGCUUAACACAUGCAAGUCGAACGGACUUUUGAUGAAGCCUAGCGAUUCAAAAGUUAGUGGCGGACGGGUGAGUAACGCGUGGGUAACCUGCCUUAUACAGGGGGAUAACACUUAGAAAUAGGUGCUAAUACCGCAUAAGCGCACAGUAUCGCAUGAUACAGUGUGAAAAACUCCGGUGGUAUAAGAUGGACCCGCGUCUGAUUAGCUAGUUGGUGAGGUAACGGCUCACCAAGGCGACGAUCAGUAGCCGGCCUGAGAGGGUGAACGGCCACAUUGGGACUGAGACACGGCCCAA
rnacentral:rRNA from 1 species